rnacentral:rRNA from 1 species
CUUAACGAUCUGCUAGGAGACGCUAGCUACAGGCUUAACACAUGCAAGUCGAGGGGCAUCAGGAAGAAAGCUUGCUUUCUUUGCUGGCGACCGGCGCACGGGUGAGUAACACGUAUCCAACCUGCCCUUUACUCGGGGAUAGCCUUUCGAAAGAAAGAUUAAUACCCGAUGGCAUAAUGAUUCCGCAUGGUUUCAUUAUUAAAGGAUUCCGGUAAAGGAUGGGGAUGCGUUCCAUUAGGUUGUUGGUGAGGUAACGGCUCACCAAGCCUUCGAUGGAUAGGGGUUCUGAGAGGAGGGUCCCCCACAUUGGAACUGAGACACGGUCCAAACUCCUACGGGAGGCAGCAGUGAGGAAUAUUGGUCAAUGGGCGCUAGCCUGAACCAGCCAAGUAGCGUGAAGGAUGAAGGCUCUAUGGGUCGUAAACUUCUUUUAUAUAAGAAUAAAGUGCAGUAUGUAUACUGUUUUGUAUGUAUUAUAUGAAUAAGGAUCGGCUAACUCCGUGCCAGCAGCCGCGGUAAUACGGAGGAUCCGAGCGUUAUCCGGAUUUAUUGGGUUUAAAGGGAGCGUAGGUGGACUGGUAAGUCAGUUGUGAAAGUUUGCGGCUCAACCGUAAAAUUGCAGUUGAUACUGUCAGUCUUGAGUACAGUAGAGGUGGGCGGAAUUCGUGGUGUAGCGGUGAAAUGCUUAGAUAUCACGAAGAACUCCGAUUGCGAAGGCAGCUCACUGGACUGCAACUGACACUGAUGCUCGAAAGUGUGGGUAUCAAACAGGAUUAGAUACCCUGGUAGUCCACACAGUAAACGAUGAAUACUCGCUGUUUGCGAUAUACAGUAAGCGGCCAAGCGAAAGCAUUAAGUAUUCCACCUGGGGAGUACGCCGGCAACGGUGAAACUCAAAGGAAUUGACGGGGGCCCGCACAAGCGGAGGAACAUGUGGUUUAAUUCGAUGAUACGCGAGGAACCUUACCCGGGCUUAAAUUGCAGUGGAAUGAUGUGGAAACAUGUCAGUGAGCAAUCACCGCUGUGAAGGUGCUGCAUGGUUGUCGUCAGCUCGUGCCGUGAGGUGUCGGCUUAAGUGCCAUAACGAGCGCAACCCUUAUCUUCAGUUACUAACAGGUUAUGCUGAGGACUCUGGAGAGACUGCCGUCGUAAGAUGUGAGGAAGGUGGGGAUGACGUCAAAUCAGCACGGCCCUUACGUCCGGGGCUACACACGUGUUACAAUGGGGGGUACAGAAGGCAGCUAGCGGGUGACCGUAUGCUAAUCCCAAAAGCCUCUCUCAGUUCGGAUCGAAGUCUGCAACCCGACUUCGUGAAGCUGGAUUCGCUAGUAAUCGCGCAUCAGCCACGGCGCGGUGAAUACGUUCCCGGGCCUUGUACACACCGCCCGUCAAGCCAUGGGAGCCGGGGGUACCUGAAGUACGUAACCGCAAGGAUCGUCCUAGGGUAAAACUGGUGACUGGGCUAAGUCGAAAAGAUGCCUAAGCUUG